rnacentral:lncRNA from 1 species
AAAAACCAAUGAUGAUAUUUCCGUGUAAAAAAGGAAAAGAAUACUGAUGUUACCUUGAGAAUGGGAGGCAUGUGGAAGGGAACAUUUACUGAAAUUGAAAGAACAAGGAAUGCACGAUGUGAUGCCUAGGGGCAAUGCCAUGCUGCUUUGCGUUUAUCAAGGGAGGGACGUGGGAUCAUGCUCUAACCCACGGGCGGAGGUAAGACAAAGAAAUGGAUAGAGCAGCCGAAAGAAUAAGCUCGGCUUGCUGCACGGUGUGACCAGCUGCCUGGCAUCUCAACCUCCGCACCUUCGCACAAGCUCCCCGCAGGCACUGCAGCCACUGCUCCCUGCCAGACUUGUUGGGCACAAGCCACAGCGGGCGCGUCGGAAGUGUGUGUGUGUGCGCAGGCGGGACGCGUCAGGCGCGGUGGCGGGUGUGCGAGCGUACGUGUGUGUGCGAGCACGGGUCUAUCCGUGCGGCGUGCUGGGUGUGCGUCAGUUUAGGGCUAGCUGGUAGUCGUGCUGGACCGGGUCUCCCGAGUAUAAGACCCGAGUGGGGUGCGUCUGUAACCAGCGUGGGUGUCGAGUUCGAGCUCGGAAUAGAAGCCGUGGUUGCGGCGGCGGCGUACGUGCGCGCCGGGAAAAUCCCCAUCACAUCUUUGUGUUUCAUCCUCGUUUCUUCUUCCUUCGGUUCGUGCCGACGCAAGAGAGAGAGAGCAGCAGCAGAGAGAGAG